GACGAACGCUGGCGGCGUGCCUAAUACAUGCAAGUAGAACGCUGAAGGAGGAGCUUGCUUCUCUGGAUGAGUUGCGAACGGGUGAGUAACGCGUAGGUAACCUGCCUGGUAGCGGGGGAUAACUAUUGGAAACGAUAGCUAAUACCGCAUAAUAGCAGUUAUUGCAUGAUAACUGUUUGAAAGGUGCAAUUGCACCACUACCAGAUGGACCUGCGUUGUAUUAGCUAGUUGGUGGGGUAACGGCUCACCAAGGCGACGAUACAUAGCCGACCUGAGAGGGGGGUCGGCCACACUGGGACUGAGACACGGCCCAGACUCCUACGGGAGGCAGCAGUAGGGAAUCUUCGGCAAUGGACGGAAGUCUGACCGAGCAACGCCGCGUGAGUGAAGAAGGGUUUCGGAUCGUAAAGCUCUGUUGUAAGAGAAGAACGAGGGUGAGAGUGGAAAGUUCACACUGUGACGGUAUCUUACCAGAAAGGGACGGCUAACUACGUG
rnacentral:rRNA from 1 species